UAACGUAAAAUUAAAGCGAAAACCAUUUAUUUGGCGCACUUACGAUCACGUGACAUCUCAGUUUAUGACGCAUUAUGAUACACGCAUGCGUAGUGUGUCGACGUUGAGGCGGGGACAGGCGCACGCAGUGGUAUGGAAGAGGAGAGCACAUGUAAAGUUCGUUUACGUCGGUUCUUUAUCUUGGAAAACAAAAGGAUCAGUGAGUUCAUCAUUACAGAUAAUUAUGGAAACUGUUAGUGAUUCAUGUUUUCUAAUUUUGAUGAAAGAAAAACAUUUGGGAAAACUGGAUGAGCUUGGUGUGGUCCAUGAAGCGGAUCUUGCACUAGUUACGGAAGGAUGACAUUCUAAGGUAAGAUGUACUGUAUGGAUAAGCAACAUGUGAACAAAAAACACUCCAGAAACUUUAUUCCCAUUUCAAGCCUAGGAGAUUUUUCCAGUCCAGAGCGAAACUCAAGUCAAGAAGAGUACCUUGAUCUUCUAUCACAGAAGACAUUUUUUGCCAACACUUCCAGGAGUCACUUGGACACAAAAGCAUUUCAGUCUAUGACAGUGGAAACAAUCCUGGUGAUGUCUACUGGAACAAGGUAGCUAAUCAAGUUAAAAAGUGUUUUCAGAAAGGGGAAUGACAACUACCUUCGUCAGAAAGAAUUAGCUUGUCCGAUAUUGUUGAUGACUCAACGUAUGAAGAUUUGUAUUUAAAAUUUGUUAGUAGCUCUCAAUCAACAAUUAUGAUAUUGUUUUUAUGGGUGAGUCAGUACAACAUAGUGUAUUGCAGUUCUUCGUAAUAUGUAACCUAAUGUUAAGCUAACCACAAGUAUCUGUAUUCCAUGAGUCACUAGCAUUGAAAGUCCAAUUGCCCAGCUAAUUUACUAACUUAUUGAAACUUAUUAAAAUUAUGAUUAAAAUGUAAUAAAUCUUAAUCUUAAUUACAAGGAAUUACAGACAAGGUGUUUUUAGGUACAUUUAUCCAGAAGUGUGGUUUCCCUAUCUAAUGAAUUUAUGAUUGCCUUUGCAACGUCUCUAAGAUAUGGUGAUAGCAAAUGAUAGUAAACAAGCUAAGAAGUAGAGUGAUUAAAUGAUAAUCUGUUAGUACUGUUCAGUGUUAUUAAGCUGGUUAUGGUCCAGAAUUGUGAAAUAAUCUUAAAAUAUACUAUUGAUUAUUGCAUUUUACUAAAUUGUAUUGUAUAGAUAUUACUAUAAAUGUUGAUUUAUGUUUAACGAUUCAGUUUUACUUUAUGCAUUAUAAUUAAACUAGGAUGGUAACUUAGAAAUAAUAUGUACUAUUUAUCUUCUCAGUAACAGCAAGCCAACUAAGUUCUCUUAUUCUGAUUAUUCAUAGACAUUGUAUUUCAUAAUUUAAUAUUACAGUAAGAAAUACAACAUCGGAAUAACAUACUAUUACAAAAUAUUCUUAUUGGCAUAAUAAUAUGUACCAUUUCAUGAUUUAUUAUUAUAGUAACCAAGAUUUCACUCCUUUUUGUUCUGCAGUUUUCAUGAUAGUUAAUAAGUAAGAAAGAAAAAGUACAUCAGACAUCUGUUGGGGCUCGUUUUUCUUCAACAAAGGCGUGUAUUGUAAUUACAAAUAUAAUAUUUUUAAAAAAAACAGUCUAAUGAAGAUUCUUUAAAACAUUUGUUAAACUAUAGACUUUAUAAACAAUUUUCGUUAAUUUGUUUAAUUUUGUUAGCCACCAAAAAUGUAGUGGGAAUUUUUGUAAAAGUAAUUUAGACAGUAAUUUAUUGUAUUUUUACAGAAAUUAUUUUUAAUAAAUUUAAAAUUGUAAUUCUACAUUAUUAACGGUUGACAAAGCUUAUUAUUUACGUCACCUGUGAUUCUACGUUACGGUUGACGACCGGAAUUCAUAUUGACAGUAAUUUACAGUAUUUUUACAGGAAUUACUUAUUUACGGUACCUGUGAUUCUACAUUACGGUUGACGACUGGCAUUGAGAUUGACAGUAAUUUUCCGUAUUUUGACGGGGAAUAAUUGUGAACGGUAAACGUGAUUCUACAUUACGGUUGACGACUGGCGUCCUGAUUGCCAGUA